GCGGUCGCGGUAACUGUUUAGGGCCGUUCCUGCCAAAUAGCCUAAUAUUUCGGGCGACGGUUAGGAGGAUCCUUACUAAGGCACAGGUCCCAUCUUCUUCCAUUCAGUCACAAAUUGCUGAGUCACCUCUUGCAGGAGCACAACAAAAUUCGCCUGCUUCAAAUCCUGCUUGCAUUGCAACAUCAACAGAGGGAGGACCAUGUAGUAAUGUUUCUGUUCUUGUUACUGACUCUUCAAAUAUAAAUUCUGGAUGGGCAGAAACAUUAACUGUAUCGCCUCCCAUGAGCUCACCAACUCAAAGGGCUAUUCAUGGUAAUGCGAGUGACUCAUUACAAGAUCAUGUUCCGGCAACAUUCGUUUCCUCACAUGUCUAUGUUGUCCCUCCACCUUCUUUCUCUUACAGUGUAUUUCCUAGGCGAACUCUACCUCUGGGGUUCCUCAACAAACUUCAUCUUCUCCUGUUAGUUUUGUUACUUGUGCUAAUUUUUUUUAGGCUUUGUAUUUUGCGCUUAACAUUCUCCAACUAAUUUGUUUGGUUUCAUUUUUUGUGUGGGCUUUACUAUCAACUCCAUAAAUGUCUCCAGCUGCUCUACAACUGCCAGUUUUUGGGCAGUCUUUAGGAAAUUGACUGUCUUUUUCAUACAAUGUUGUUACACUAUCCAUGCUAGCCCUGCUUCUGGUCAGCAGUUUCAACCCGCUGUUGUAAUUCUCAAGUGCUUUUAAUACUUCAUAUGGUACCUUUCUUUGGUUCAAUAUGGAUGAAUAUAUUUGCUUUUGACGGAAUCAUCUGUCUCAACUUUUUAUAUACAUGUCUUGCCGUUAGGGGAAUAAUCAAUGUCCGCUGUCGAUUGAAAAUUAUGUCCCAACUUUGCCACUAUUGGCUACUGUAUGUUUGCAGCCUGCAGUACCCCGUCAAUCUAUUUGUCCUAAUGCAUCCAUUUCUGCAACCGUGCCACAGAAUUUUCCACCAUCCAUUCAAUUGUCAGUUCCCCCUCCCAAGGGCCAGCUAUCGCUUUCAACAAAAAUUUUCUUUGGUCGGGCCAACAACAAUGUAGGCUUCUGUUAAGACCUUGCCAUGCACAUUUUGUUUCUUUAAAUUUUAUGUGGUUUAAAUACUAUUCUUUUUUCCUUAUAAAUCCAUUGUUACUCAUUUUCUUUUUUGACUGAAAGUUGAUCUUCCAUUUCUAUGUUUGCAGUGCACCUCUAAGGCAAUGCCUUUUGAUUCUGGCAUAACUUCCGUAUCGACUAGUUUAAAUCCAAAGUUUUCACGUGAUAUGCAUGCAAGUUCAUCCAUAAGCUUGACAAUCUCUCCUGUUUCUAAUGUGUCAAGCAUGUUGCCACCAACUAGUUGUUUGAUAAAUGAUCAUAUUCCAAUGUGUUAGAUAGGGCUCAUAUACCAUAGAGGGACAGAUUUUGGAGCGGAGCUGAAGAUUCUGUCUAAAUCAGGGGAGUUUCCUUAUGUGUGUUGGGGGUGAGGGAUAAGGGUAAUUUGGUAAUUACAUAUUGUACUCUAGGGUUUUCUAGGAUUAUAAAUAAGCUUGUAUGUAACCCUAGGUGUCAUCCCAUAUUCUGUAUACUGUACUUUUUUCUGGAUUAGUGGAAAAGCCGCCGCUCUGCUUCCGAGGACGUAGGCAUCUUUGACGAACCUCGUUAAAUUUCUUUUUGUUCUUCUGGAUUUGUGUAGAUUACUGUUUUUCUUCGCCCUAAUUUCUCAACACAAUGGUUGGAACUUUUAUGGGCAAUAAUCUGCAUAAGAACACCUAAUCCUGCAGCUGUUCAACCAUCAAAGCUUGGGUCUUCGCCAGUAACAAUGAGAUCCGUUCAACAUAAUCAAGUAAUUGCACAUUCAAGUCAGUCUUCUAUUACAAAUCCAACUCCACAGAAUGUACCUCAACAAUUUAUCCAAAUUUACCACCAGUACCUGUCCAGAUGCCACCUCCUCCAGCUCAUUUGCUGCCUUCUCAGGCUACUGGUUUACAAUGUCUUACCCUGUCCCAGUAUCCAACUGUGCUUCCUGGUCCUUGCCCUUUCUCAGUGAGGGGCAUCCCACCACCCUCUGUUCCUUCUCUUGAUGGAUGACUUGGCGUUUUCCCUGGAGUCAUCCUUCCUGUAAGUAAUACUGGAGCAAGAUCAUCACCUCAUGAUGCUGCAUUUGAAAAGGAGACUAAUGAUUCUCAGGAGGAUGGUAACAAUAAAAGUUAAGAAUUAGAAGCUUGAAAAGUGCACAGAACUGAGACACGUUUUAUAUUAUUACAGUACUAUUUCAGGAGAAUCUACUUAUGAAGGGCCAUUCAAAUUCAAUGGAGAGCGAUAACCUCUAAAUAUCGAUUACUUGCUGGCAAAUUCUUUCCGAAGUUUUGGAAAUGAGAAAAAAAAGGUGGUAGUAAACUCUUCAAAAAAGGAAAAUGCUAACAUUACCUCAGAUAAGGGGACUAUACCUAGCACUCUGAAUGCUCCUACUCUGCAAAACUGGUGCUCGUGAGUCUAGGACCCUGAGAACUCCAAGCAGACAACUUUCUGAAUCAACAUUGUAUUUAAUAAAGAAGAAACUGCAGGUUUCUGCUACCCCAAAUAUGUUAGAACCUCUUCAAACCUCAUCUGAUUUAAAUGUUUCAAGAGUUAAAGGGGCAACAACCUGCGAAUAGUAAAGACAGAAUUAGAGAUCUAAUGUAUAUGGAAAUAUGUCAGAUUUCUCAUCUGAUAUAGAUGAGGAAGAAGGCGGGCAGUGCAUUAUUCAGUUCAAGGUCUUUGGUUUUGCUAUAUCCUAACUGUAUAUUUUUCUGUUGUCGCAGUCAUUUAGUUCAUUUCUUUUUAUGUUUUUAUAUAUUUUCAGUUCUUUUUACAUGAUCUCUAAGAAGAGAGCCGAACAAAAACACAGUGCUUGCUGUGGAGGGAAAUGUUACUAUAU